CCAACAUGGAAACACAACCACCGCUACACCCGGUUAAUACGCCGCCCUCAUCAUCCCCGACGGGACCGUGGAGCAAAUCUGAGCCGGGCGAGAGGCCCCGAACACCAGGCACGGACUUCCGUGAAACGCGUAGUGCCUUCUCGAGCUCGUCUACACCUGCAGGCCGUACCUGAAAGCCUGGGCUUAUCUGUGUGUGCGUCUCCAAAGCAAAACCCAGCGAGGCUUCCUUGUAACAACUCCCUCACCAACUCUCUUUGGGCCGACGACACGGAAUCACCUUACCAUUAACCUCGGCGGAGACCAAUCAAGAAUAGAAUGAAGACUGACUUGUGUGGAUGGGGCGAGGGACUAAAAAAUAUACUGUUUUCAGGUGUAACCUGGAGUAGUUGAUGGCCUUCACGUGAAAUUAGCUGUCACUUGGGUACUUGAGAUACUCUAAACGCGGAUUUUGGCAGCACAAAUAGCCACUGGGCUUGCUCUGGUGAGAGAGGGUGGAGAAAGCGUGGACUCGCCCCGCGCUCAGUGAGGGGCUCCUGCUUUCGUACCUCGGUUCCCAACAUGCCAGAGAGCUGGCUAAUUCUGUGAACAAGGAUGGAUUCCCAAUUAUCCUGUUUGGGCGAACGAGGUGGUGAACGUCACUUCUGGUUUUGCUUCCAACCAAAGCACGACAGAGAUUCUAGGACCACUUUGGGGUAGAAAUCCGAGGCCCGGAGCAGAAGCUGCCCCUCAGAGUCCACAGUUUGUCCUGAGUAACAAGGGUUUUUCUUAGAAGAAGUAUCCCAGUGGUAACAUGUGGCUCCUUCUAUUGAAAUGUCUUUUGUCAACAUCUAAGUACCUUUAGAAGUAUGCAUUUGUCCAUAUUGGUCACCAAAACGUGUCCUCUCAGUCUGUGCAAGGGCUUAAAAAUUCUUGAUAAUUCAACCAGCCCAGUAUUCAAAGGAAGCAGGAAAGAGACAAAGUGUUAUCAAGAUUUCUUCCGCUGAGGACAGCCCAGGAAAGGGUUUGGUGUUUAAUCCAAGAACGAUGAGAUACCUUUGAAGAAGAGCCCAUGAUCACGUCUUGUUUUGCUCACCAUUGGACCCACAGUGCCAACCCAGUGAUGGGCACGCACUAGGUGACAAAUACAUAUUUGUUGAAGAAAUGAAUGAAAAGUCAAACUCAGAGUCUUUCCUUCUCAAGCCCAUUCCCUCUGAAUUUCCCACUUGGGCAAACAGCAUCGUCUCCCAGGACCCAGCAUCAUUUCUGGCGCGGAGAGGGCAAACACACAAAUGUUUGUGGUACCGAAUGGAGAUGAAUAAGACUUAUUUUUGUCCUGGACCCACUAUCUGUCACAACAGCGGAGCACGGUGAUGAAUGUCUGUAGGGAUGCUGGAGAAAGUGCUAAGAGGUGAAAACGGGAAUAAACGACAAGAGACGACUUCACUCUGAAAGAAGACGGAGGAGAGGGAGAGCCUGAGCCAAGUUUGCUGCGUGGGGGGAAGCUUCUGUACGAUUCAUACUGUAGCUUCUAACUCUUCCAUCAGGGGCCUGUGAGGCCAGGUGCUAAUUAAGUUAAUAA